rnacentral:rRNA from 1 species
AAUACAUCGGAAUCUACCUUUUCGUGGGGGAUAACGCAGGGAAACUUACGCUAAUACCGCAUACGACCUUCGGGUGAAAGCAGGGGACCUUCGGGCCUGGCGCGGAUAGAUGAGCCGAUGUCGGAUUAGCUAGUUGGCGGGGUAAAGGCCCACCAAGGCGACGAUCCAUAGCUGGUCUGAGAGGAUGAUCAGCCACACUGGAACUGAGACACGGUCCAGACUCCUACGGGAGGCAGCAGUGGGGAAUAUUGGACAAUGGGCGCAAGCCUGAUCCAGCCAUACCGCGUGGGUGAAGGAGGCCUUCGGGUUGUAAAGCCCUUUUGUUGGGAGAGAAAAGCAAUCGAUUAAUACUCGGUUGUUCUGACGGUACCCAAAGAAUAAGCACCGGCUAACUUCGUGCCAGCAGCCGCGGUAAUACGAAGGGUGCAAGCGUUACUCGGAAUUACUGGGCGUAAAGCGUGCGUAGGUGGUUGUUUAAGUCUGUUGUGAAAGCCCUGGGCUCAACCUGGGAAUUGCAGUGGAUACUGGGCAACUAGAGUGUGGUAGAGGGUAGUGGAAUUC